UGACAUCUAGAAGACUCGCUCGUGUACGGUCCAUGGAGGCUGUUUUGUUGAUGGGAAGACAUGUCGAAGCGAUCUUUGGAACAUUGAAGGGUUUGAUGACCAUGGGAGAAUUUAUGUUGGUAAGAAGACUAUUUCUAGAAUUGUAGUGAUGAAUGAUCAUCCAACUCCAAGUUCAUCAAUAGCAGUUGAUAUGACCAAGAGAAAACAUUCUAUCGCUGACACUGAAACCUCGAGUUGUGAUCCCU
rnacentral:lncRNA from 1 species